rnacentral:rRNA from 1 species
GAGUUUGAUCAUGGCUCAGGACGAACGCUGGCGGCGUGGAUUAGGCAUGCAAGUCGAACGGUAUGGUGCUUUCGGGCAUCAGAGAGUGGCGAACGGGUGAGUAACACGUAGGUUAUCUACCCUCAAGACGGGGACAACCCAGGGAAACUUGGGCUAAUACCGGAUGAAAGCAACCGUGAGGUUGUUUAAAAGAUGGCUUUAAGCUGUCGCUUGGGGAUGAGCCUGCGUCCUAUUAGUUAGUUGGUGAGGUAACGGCUCCCCAAGGCAAUGAUAGGUAGGCGGCCUUAACGGGUGGUCGCCCACACUGGGAUUGAGAAACGGCCCAGACUCCUACGGGAGGCAGCAGUCGAGAAUAGUCUACAAUGGCCGAAAGGCUGAUAGUGCGACGCCGCGUGAACGAGGAAUCCCUCCGAGGUGUAAAGUUCUUUUAUAUGUGAGCAGUGCCGGCUAUAUUAAUAGUAUAGUUGGAGAGAUAUUAGCAUAUGAAUAAGCAACGGCUAACUCCGUGCCAGCCGCCGCGGUA